rnacentral:lncRNA from 1 species
CUGGACCUUACACAAUUUAGAAAAGUCAUAAACCAUAAUAAUUUGAAUAAAAUUAUCAUCUUUAAAUUAUAUAGCCUCGAUAUAACAAAAAAAAUUUAGGAUAGUUUUUUUUUUUUUUUUUUCUUUGGUUUUGUUUUUCUCACUCUUUUUCCUCGCGCCCUUUUCCCCCAAAUUUUUAGAACCAAAUAACUUAAAUACAUUUUUUUCGACUAAGUGAAAAUUUUAACACAUUAAUUUUUAAUUGUUUAUUAUUUAUCUUGUUAUCCAAAGAGGUUUUUUUUUUUUUCUUUUCUUUUAAUUAUGGAAAUGGGUUUAAUGCAAUCAAAACUUUUAGUUUUUUCUAUCCAAAUUGGUAAAGUCAAAUUCAAGGUAUGAUGAUAGGAGUAGGAGAAAUUUUAGUUGGUCUUAUCCAAAAUCAUAUGGUUCGAUAGGGAAAGAGAUUGGUUUUUCAGCACAAAUCCAUUCCUUCCCAUGUAAAGAAAAUAACAUUGCUAAUUUGUUAAUGUAGAGGACGAGUGAUCCUCUGAUAGAAGCAAAGGAGCCGCUACAUACUGGUUCCCAUCAGAGCAGGUUCGGUUGGAUCUCUAAUUGUCCCUUUUUCACUGUAUUCUCCCUCAUUCAUAUGGAGCCUCGCUACCCCAAGCUUCUUUGCUUUAGCUUCGCGCUCGUAUUUUCAUUCACGUUUCUUCCAAAUCCUGUAUCACCCUUAAGCCCUUGUAGUUUUCCGGCUGUUUUCAACUUCGGUGACUCUAAUUCAGACACCGGAGGUCUGUCGGCGGCAUUCGGCCAAGCCCCUUCCCCCAACGGAGAGACCUAUUUCGGCGCUCCGGCUGGACGGUUCUCCGACGGACGUCUCAUUAUCGAUUUCAUAGGUAUAUGUAUAUGUAUAUAUAUUACUUUCUUGGUAUUUUGUUUUAUUUUAUUCUCUAAAUCGCCCCGUCAGAAUGCCCUUGUCGGAAUCGAAACGAAGGCAUCGAGAUUUCGAUGCCCUUCACGUGAAGUAACAAAAAUUUUGAAAUUUUUGGACUUCUGGAAAUGUCCAAAUCUUGAAAUUGCGUCCAGCCAUAUGAUAUAGGUGCAUAAUAGGGCCUAGAGAAUCUAUAAUAAUGGCGUGAUGGGAUCUGGACCAUCUGGUGCGCGUGACCGACCACGAUCCAAUUUCAAGUCUUGAAUUUUUUUUUCUACUAACAGAGCCAAAAAUUAAUUUGUGAAGUGAUGAUGAUUUGGUUUCAGCGGAAAGCUUGGGAUUACCAUAUCUGAGUGCGUACCUGGAUGCGUUGGGCUCAAACUUCAGCCAUGGGGCCAAUUUCGCUACCGCCGGAUCUACCAUCAGGCCCCAGAACACCACCAUGGCCCAAAGUGGAUACAGCCCAAUAUCAUUAAACGUGCAGUUUGUAGAGUUCAGUGAUUUUCGAAACAGAUCACAAAUAUUUCGCAACCGAGGUAGUCUUUAAGUCAUAAGUCUUUUAAGUCUUUAUUUUUGUGUAGUGGGAUAAGAAUUGAAGUUUAAUGUAUAAUAGGAGGGGUAUUUCAAGAAUUGUUGCCAAAAGAAGAGGACUUUGCGGCUGCUUUGUACACAUUUGAUAUAGGCCAGAAUGAUCUCACGGCUGGAUACAAGCUCAAUAUGACAACGGAGCAGGUUAAGGCAUAUGUGCCUGAUCUACUGGAUAGCUUAUCCAACAUCAUCAAGGUGAUUAACUCUGCUGGGCCCAUCUGAUUUUGACUUUCAUAGACUAUCCAGCGCCAGAAACUUACUCUCUGGUCUGCUUAAUAUACGCAGUACGUACACGCACGAGGAGCAAGGUCAUUUUGGAUACACAACACUGGCCCAGUGGGCUGCUAUCCUUACGUUAUGGAUCGUUUUCCUAUUACUGCGGCCCAGGUGGAUAAGCAUGGCUGCGCCAGCCCGUACAAUGAGGUAGCCCAAUAUUUCAACAGUAGGUUAAAAGGAGCGGUGGCCCAACUCAGAAAGGACCUUCCGGAGGCUGCAAUCACCUACGUGGAUGUGUAUUCAGUGAAGUACCGCCUCAUCAGCCAAGCGAGGAAGCAGGGUAAGGGGUUGGAGUCCCAUAUAAGUUAUAAUUGGAUAACGUUUGGGGUGGGCUUACAAAUUAUUAAAUGGGCUUUGCAGGCUUCAUGGACCCUUUUAAGGUCUGUUGUGGGCAUGGUGGGAAGUACAACUACAACCAGGCUUUCAAAUGCGGGGCCAAGAUUAAAGUGGGUGGAAAAGAAGUUGUGAUCGCGAAAUCGUGCGAGAAUCCGAGGGUUCGGAUUAGCUGGGAUGGGGUCCAUUUCACGGAGGCAGCCAACAAGUGGAUUUUCGAUCGAAUUGUGGAUGGCUCGUUUUCGGACCCACCAAUUCCAUUGAGAAUGGCUUGUCACAGGGUGGACCACUGAAUUAUUUGAAUCCUUUUCUAUCUGUCCUUUUUUUCUCCUUUUAAUCUUGUAGCCAACUUUUUUAAAGUGGGACUAUGGAACACAGUUUCAGUUAGCAUAGUAUGGUCGGAGCGAAGUUGGGCCUGUAUGUGGUGGAACUCAUCAGCCUUUUAAGGGCCUGGUCCACCACAAGUCCAACCCAACUAAACUAUUGUUGAUUAAUUUAGGAAGUGGGCCAGCCCAAUGUUUGAUCUCUUCUUCUGAUUAGAUAGGCUUUUGGUAGUCUCUCAGAUUUGAGGCAGAUACAGUAGAGGGAUUAGGAGGAUUGGAGGUGAAUUGGAGCAGAGGGUGGCCCAGAUGAGCUUUUGGAAAUGAGGUUAAAGAGGGAGGCAUUGGCAUUCGCCAAGCAUAAUUAUAAGUAAUGAAUGGGUGGUGUCAAAUUCUGAAUCCCAGAAAGUGAUCUUAUCCAUGAUGAUAUGGAUUAUGGAAUAUACUCGUUGUAUGCCAUUGGAAAAUGAAAUGACUUCUCUGUUUAAAAAGAACACCAUUUUUCAUUUGGGCUGCACAGACAUCCUUUCAACACACAUCUACAUCAAUCCAUUACAAAAGAUUAAAAGAAAGAAAAAAAAAAUAAAACACUUUCCUUUUUUUCCUUUUCUUUUUCUUGGUUGAUUCAGUGUCGAAGUAUUUAACACACCAGGAAAAUAUGAUUAAUAUAAAAAUCACAUUGUACAGGAACAAUAUCUGAGACAAAAUUCUUGCUUACCAAACAUGUGGAUCGAAAACGGGUAUUGGAGAAGUAGUGGGCAUGGCAAUAACAUAUGCGAUCUAUUCUGUACUAUCCCAAUCACACCCAUUUUAGUCAGUUCCAGCUGUAACAGACUCCCAAUUCUCCCAGGCCCAUUUGCAGACAUGUGCUGCUCACGAAGCCCCCUUUCUCUCGUUUCCAAGAUAGCUCAAUGGCCAAUGCAAAUCAUCACAACCCCAUUGUAAUUAUGCAAAUGAAGACCCAUCUCCGUCUUCAAAUUUCUUGGCAAAUUGCUUAUAAUGAUCUCUAUGAUAACCUUGAUGAUGAGAUAGUAUAUUCAAAGCACUCAGAGCACCGCUCAUUCUACCUUCCAGGCAUAGAGAAACGAGCAGAACUUGGAUGACCUUCCUUCACUACACUCCUCCCCUGCUGUAGAAUCUGCAAUCUGAGUCGACAACAGUGUUGAUGAUGAGAUUGGCUUAAAUAUGAACAGACCUUGCCGUGGACCAGAACUAAAGAGCCAGUCAUGGACAUCCCAAUACACUUCCACUCUGGUUUUGUUCACAUAGACGGAUUCAUUACCUCUGAACUUCCAUUGGAGGUGCUUCACAUGAUUGGCCAAACGCCCAUCUAUUCUUAUCUCCAUUUCAUGAUCAAACUCCCCAGAAGAGCUGUUCUUGUUCAGGCUGUUGUUGCACUCUAUGGAUAUCUCAUGAAAAUUCCCCUUCUCAUGAAAUUUCACUUUUGUUGAGAACUUCUUCUUGCCAAACAAGUGUUCUUUCCUUGAAACCAAGGUGGGCUCGAUGAGAGCCGGCCUGCAGCCCGUCUUUCUGUAGGCAUCCUUCUUCAGAUCACCAAGAAGCAAGACAACCUCUUCUUCGCAGACGAUUGCAACAUAGUAAUCUGAUCGUGGCUCGGUCUCGCCAUUGAAUUUUGCUGCCUUGAGGUCCCAAACCACAUCAACUGUCUUGCCAUCAACUGUGAAGUGUUUUGAGCCUUGUUUUCUCCAGAAGUACCAUGGCUUCAGCUCAACCUUGCUCUGGUAAUGGCUGUCUCCAUCCGGCCCUUGAACAGAGACUGAUAGCCCAUGCAGCAACAAAUCUUUGCACCAAGUAAUGGUGAUCAGACGGCACUGACCGGCAAUCUUUGUCCGAUACACUGACAUAAACACACUCUGGCUUGACCUGGUAACCGCGGCUUGAUCAUCAACCGCCCUCUCACCGGAUGAAAAGCACGCUGGAAUUCCUAUUGCUUCAUGCAUGAUUUGCUGCUAAAGGGCAAGAGAAUUAGUAGGUUUAUAUAGAAAACAGAGGGAAAAUUCAACCUAACUAAACAGAAGAUAAAGCACUGGAGAACAUAGGGUGAAUAAAUUGGAUCAAGGUCAUGUAGAGAGAGCUUAAAAUCUUAUCCAGAAGAUCUGUUCACAGAUGCUGCCAGAGGUUUUCUUGGCAGCAUUUCAUCAUCAACAGCAAAACACCCAAUUUCCAAACUGGCAGUUUGAAGGCAGAUUAAAGAAUAAGGAAGAGCAACACAUACAAUAUUCAAUUAUAUGUGAGCUUCUGAAACGGUUUUCCCCUUUCCCUUCUGUUUUUAACAAACCCACUUUUCCUUAUCCAGUGUGGCUUUUGCUUUAAUAACUGGUUUCAUCUCCAUUAACUUUGCUUUUCUCAUGCAUGGUAAAAAGGAAACAAGCCCCUUUCUGCUCUGAGAGAGAGAGAGAGUUCCGCCCAUGUGAGCAUGUGGGGUGGGGUAGGCCACUUACGACACUAGUGUCAUGUCAAUAGAAAACAUGGAAAAAAAAUUUGUAUUUUCAGUGUGGAUUUUAAAAUUUUAAUUAUUUUCUGUAUUUCAGCUUUGUAAUUUUUCAUGUGGAGUUUGGUCUCUCAGCUUUUAACUAUUUAGCUUUUCUGUGGAGAAGCUGCAGAAAAGUGCGUAGGCUUGAAUCUAAAGGUGUCAGUUGCAGAGAAAAUCUCUGUUGCCAUAGUAGAUCUGGUCCAACGCUCGGUCUUCUCCGCAGUUAAAAGUUUUUCAUGUUUGGAGUUGAAGGAUGAGAAAAAACGUGAAUAAAAAAAACAAAUAGCCCAAGAGACGGUGUGAAAUUUGGUUGUUGAUGGGUCAUGUUUAUAUCGUAUUAAAACUAUAAUAUUUAAAUUAAAUAAGUUAAAAUUAAUUAAAAAUAUAAACUUAAAUAGUAACUAGUCAUUAAAUAACCAAUUAACUUAAGAAUUGGUUUCAAUUUAAAAAUUAAGUGAAGACACGGUUUCACCUGAAUUAAUAUAAUUAACCUUUGAACUUCGUAUAUUUAUUUGAUUAUUGAAUUAGUCAAUUCGGAUCAAAUUCAAAUCAUACGAGUUAACUUCAAACUAUUUAUUUAUUAAUCGAAUUAUGGAGAUCGAUACAAAUUUGAUUCAAAUAUUAUUACAUUUAACUUAAACCUAUCAAACUCAUGUCGAAUUUGGGUUGUAUUAGCAAAUCAUAUCAAACCUCACCACUUCCAUUGAGAGGCAGUACAAGAUGCUGUCUGAUUGGAUGAUAACUAAACUAGCAAAGGAAAAUGCAAAUGUCAAGGGUUUGGAACUCGAGUUUGAAGGUGCAUCUUUCUUCAUAUGAGCUUGAUGAUACAUGAACAAUCUGAAAGUUUUGACCAUUAUUUUUAAACUCAAUGUGUUUAACAUGCAAACUGGCAUGAGUACAAACCUAAUUCAAUAUAUUUUCCUGGAAUCUCCAUGGUUGGUUUCUAUCUGUAAGUCAAUGAUCCAAUCAUUCCUGUAAUUUAAUAAUCCAAGUGAGAUAUUUCCUUUUUCCUCCCCAUGGAAAAGAAAAUGGUUGCACUCUUCUGAUUCAUUAACCUAAGAUAGAUGUCUUUUCAAUUUCAUUACCAAAAUUACUUUAUCUGAGAUUUCAUUUAGGAUUAGAAUUCUCAGUCACAAAUUCCGACAAAGGAUAUUCAUAAUCGACUUGUUCAUCUAAAAAGAAGAGCAUGGAGCCCUACACUAGUAGGAAAGAGAAGACUGGUCUGGUGAAACAUAAAGAGUCGAGUUACAGGUGAGAGGUCACAGCUCACAAGCACUACUGUCAGCUGAGAGGCAAAAGUAAACCAGAAAUGAAAAGGAAAUUUCUAGAUGCAUUGAAGUAAAAGAAUCUGAAAUUAUGGGUGAGGGGUCACAAGCACCAUUGCUGAACCAAAAAGCAAAUAGGACAAGAAAAUUCUGGUAAAUUUACAGUUAAAAAAUCUAACGUUUAGCUAGUUAUCUCUAUGGAUUUCCCGCACUUAGGAAUUAGAGUUUGGUGUGUGCAACACCCUUUUUAGAAUGUGAAGACAAAGAGAGACAUACUUAAAGGGUGUAAUUAGGAGGAAUAAUGCAGGUUAGCCCACAAGGUCAGCUGUCACAUGUGAGGUCAAUUAUCAUCACUGUGAUGUCGUCCAAACCACCCCUUGUUAGGGCAAGGUUCAUGAGCUCCUUACAAGCAGCCACAAGUCUACUAGAAGCAAACGACUUCUUGUAGCUCUUCUCUUGUCUUGGAGACUGGGUCUUCAUGUUUAGCCGCUUGACCAGGGAAAUCCUGCGUGCCUUGGACGGUGGGCUUUCAUUUUCACAGGCAAAGUCUUCUUCAAUUUCUUUACGGCUAUCAACAGUGAUCCUGUAGCUUGGAGACUGACUCAUUGUCUUUGGUUGCUUGAGUAGUGAAAUCCUGCGUAACUUUGAUGCCGGACUAGUGUUCACGCUAAAAUAUCCUCCAUCGUUUUCCUUUUGAAAGUGUCCACCGCCACUGGGUCCUAGUUUUCUUUCAAUUGACCCUGAUCGCAUCACCGUAUCAACAGCUUCUUGGUUGCCAACCUAGGCAAGACGAUAAAAUUCAAAGUUAACAACCAAGUAAAAUAAUCUUAAUUAUUCUGAACAGAGAAUUUUGUCUCAGAUAUGUUCUUGGUCAUAUGCGCGUAGGGGACCUCAAUGCUGCGGGAAUAGUAUAAUCAAAGAUAGCAACAAAACAAAGAGUUAAAAAAGGCAGCCCAUCUUGUCCAAUCACUGCUUUCUGAGGGAAGAUUGAAAAAAUCUCCUUAUCUUCUUCGCUGAUUUUUUUUGUAAGUCAAGGCUAUUGCUGCUUUGUUCUUUCUGUUGUUUAAUCGAUUAUAUUGGCCCUCUGCCUAUAGUAUCAGCAAUUAGUACCAUAAUAACCAUCUUACUGCUUCUUUGGGGUAAUGAAUUUACAACUGAUGUUUGCAGCAACAUGACCUUAGUUUUCCCUUUCCAAAAUUUGCUCCCCAUCUUAGCACAGACAACCAUCAAAAAGCAAACGAGGAACAGAUACAAGGACCAAAAAAUUUUGGAAUCUAAGCAUGGAUUUCGAGCUAAAAUUUCCUUGGGGGUAUGAAUAUGUCCUUUUCUUUCUUACCUUUUCCCACAGUCCAUCAGAAGCUAAGACGAGAAAUUGCAUGUCUGGAGUCAAAUGUAGGAUUUUUGUGUCGGGUUCAGCAGACACCCAAGCCUUCAGAUGAGCAUCUCCAAUACUUCUAGAAACGGAAAGUACCCCAUGGAUUCUCCAAGCUCCUCGGUGGAUCUCUACAUAUCCUCCCUACAUGAUAAUAUCAAAGACAAGUGUGAAAAUCCUUUCCAGUCUGCUUCACACUACUAAAUCUCAUUAUACUGCAAUAAAUAAAUACCUUUUCCUCUAUUCUUUUCCGUUCAUCCUCCUGUUCUGCUCUGUGAUCUUUUGUAAGGGCUUCAGCCACUCCCCCUCUACAAAGAACUGCACUGCAAUCCCCCAAGUUUGAAAUAACAAUUUCCUUUCCUUCAAUCAAGGCUGUGACACAGCAGGCACCACUGCUUAAACCCUGCAAUUAUUACACACUAGUCAACUCAGCAUUUUUCAGUAUAUAGAAGGAGGGGGAAAAACUAGACAGAUAGUGAGCAGAACAAAAGGCAUUAAUACACCAUCCGAGCUCUCUUUCUUUUGGUUUACUCCUCUUUUAAGAAAGGACUCACAGGAACACUAUGUUCAACAUUAAAUAGAUCUGAAAGAAAAUAAGAGUGGAUCUAUUUGAGCUCCACAUCUUCAACUUAACACUGGUUAUGGCAGAAAAUCAUCCCCUAAGCUAAUUCUAACCAGAUUCACAAAUGAUAUUCCAAAAAAUCUAGAACUUGAAACAUUCAAUAAUAGAAUGAUAAGAGGUUUGAGAAUUCUACUUGAAUCACCGGGAUAAUAACAAAUUAGCAGACAGCUGACACUUGACACUGGUUAACAUGUCAAACUGAUUUUGAAGAGAAGAUACUAUAUACUACCAUAAAAAGCAUAUCAACCUGAAACAAGAAAAUUAAGAUCAGUUUAUGAGAAGAGGAUAAAUUACCAUAAAAACCCCAUUAAAAUUCAAAAACAUGGAAUGUAGAGCAACAGCAACAAGAGACAUUCUAUUGACCAAUCUGGAUCUGCGUGUAACCCAAAUUUGUGCCAAAGGAAGCCAUUCAUAAUGGCAUUGACUUAAUUCUACUCAUUUUUUUUCUCUGAAUAUAUAAAUCAGUUCAACUUGAAGUCUUAAAUAUGUCCAUCCAAGAGGUUUGCUAUAACACCAGCAGCUUACAGUACAGAACCUGAGAAAUGCACUCUACCGUAUGGCAGCCUAGGAUUGCAGUAGGUUUAGAGUAGUCUUUGGUCAUCAUGCAAUCAAAUAUGGUGUGAUGGUUGAUACAAUGAAUGUAUGGGUAAUUUUGCUUCAAAUAUUUUAUUUUUAUUCUUGGGAAGGUCAAUAUUUGUGAAGUUUAGGUUUCGAUAAAUUACUGUUUUUGGGUUCGAUUAGAAUUGAGAAACUCAUUGUUUAGGGUUAACCCAUAUGACUAUAAAUAUAUAGUUUUAUAUCGGAUUUGAUGAGAGAUUGAAAAAAGUGAACCAUUAGAAGCUUCGGAGUUGUAACAAUAGGGAAGAAAGAGGCAAACGGAGUAUUGGAUUUUGGGUAGAUAGAGGAUUCAGAGAGUUAAGGUAUGUAAUUCUAAAGUUUAUUAGUGAAUUUGAUUUCCCUUUCCCACUUUCCCAUGGAUCCAAGUAAAUCUUUUAUUUUAUUUUUUUGUUGUGUUUGAGUGUUGCGAUUUUUCAAACAAGUGGUAGCAGAGUUUGGUAUGAACAUUGCAGGAAAAUUUUUUAAGAUGAUGUGCAUUUUAAUGGAAAAAAAAAUAAUCUCGGUAUUUAACUAAGUAUUGUUAAAGAUAUUUUGCUGUAACAAAGACUUUUCAAAGAAUAAUAAGACAAAAAACUAAAAGUAUGAAAGAUGAAAAAGAGAAAGAAUUAGAAGCAAAAGCGGUAAAUACUGUUUAUUUAAGUCUAUCUUAUGAAAUAAAAUGAGAAAUUUUCUUAAGAAAUUUUUUAUUUAUAGGAAAAUCUAGAGAAAAUUUAUAAGUCAAAAUUCUUAAUAAAUAGAUGAUAUUUGAAAAAGUAGUUAUUUAGAUUGAAAAUGGGUGAGAAAGUAUUUAUUUUGACUCAAAUUUUUAUUUUUUUAUUUUUUUUUGUAAAAUUAAUAUUUAUAGAGUUUAAAUUUUGGUAAAUUACCAUUUUUGAGUUUGAUUAGGAUUGAGAAACUCAAUAUGAAGGGGUGAGUUGAUAAGACUACAAAUAAGGACUUGGUGAGAGAGUGAAAAAAAUGAGUCAUAAGAUAUUCAAAGUCCUAAGAAGAGCAAAAAUAGAUAUAGAUUGGAUCUUGCAUAAAGAGUCAAAGUCCUAAGAAGAGCAAAAAUAGAUAUAGAUUGGUUCUUGCAUAAAGAGAUGUUAAGAAAGUUUGGGUAUUUAAUUCUGAAAUUUAUUAGAAAAUUUGACUCCCCAUUUUACUUCAUAGAAGUCUCAAUAUACUAGAUGCAAGUUUACAAUUCACAAUUGGAUCAAGACUCACUAAGACUCAACAUAUAUCAAUAGAUGUUUUGGCCUCAUAUGCCCAACAUGGUGACACCAAACAACACCCGUGAUUCAUAUAUAUUUCUCCUGAGCUACAACUAACCGCAGUUUUUGUGGACCAAUAACAAGAUAGACCUAAGAAUUGGAAUUAUGUAGAAUUCCUUGAAACCAGUAGGAAGCUUUGAACAGAUUCCAACAGUGACCUUUACCAGUAAUCAUGCUUUGAUCAAAUAGUUCAAAUUUAGAGGCACUGAAUGCGGACGAAAACCCAAGAUACAUACAACCAACCAACCUGUUUCAAGAACUCCUCAUCUGUCUUCAGAUACCCUGCUUUAACAGCCUCCUCCUUGGUCGUAUCUUCUGCACAAUUCUCCAACUUUUCGAAAAUGUUGGUAUGCAGGUUCUCAACGACAAAGUCAGCUGCCAUUUUACCUCCGUGCCCGUCAUAGACCCCGAAGAAACCCUACGCAUUGGCAGCAAGAAUUCACAAUAAUCCACCACUUUUUGUUACGAAUUGACAAAGGCCAGGCCAGAGGUGAAGUGAUCUGUAGAGUAGUGGUAGUACCUUAUUGGAGCUACCGAAUGAGCAAGAAACGAUCUUGUGGGCAUCUUCCAUGAACUUUUUCUUGCCUCUGAUGGAGGAAACACCAACCCCAGUACCGCAGAAAGAAACGGCGUCGUUUCGAGGAGUAGACGGCCUGGAUAUUUGAAUUUCUUGCAGGACCUUAGGGAUCUGGAUGCUGGGGGGCCUUUUACGCUUCAAAGUAGAGGAAACAGUGAGAGAAGAAACUGAAGGUGUGUCCAUGUCUGCUACAACCGAAGAAUCGAUGGGCAUUGCUGUAUGAGGCAGGAGGCAGAGGGUGAGAGAGAGAGAGAGAUAGAGGCAGAGGCUCUAACGGCUAUAAAUCAUGGGAAGUAAAUAUUUAAGAAGUACGAAAUGGGGGAGUCAAAAGCAGUUAUGCUUCGUUCAAAGAAAAUGUUUCGUAGCGAGCCGUUAGGGCUGUGGUCAAUUGUUUGAAGGUGCAGUUGGCCGUAAGUACCAAGUCGUGCCCAAAUUUUGUAUAAAUAGCUAAAAACAAAAUAUUGAUCAUUUCUCCAUGAUAAUUUUUAUAAACUUUUUUAAUUUUUUGGUCUUUGCUGUUUGUUUUGCACGAAAUUGAAGGAAAGAAAGCAACUACAAUGUGAUACUUAGGGAUUAGAGUGCGUUUAAAAUUAAUGAAUAAAGUGAGGAUAAAAGAUGUGAAGAUGAAUUAUUUUGAAUUUAUAGAAUAAGCAAUUUUCUUAGGUUUUGAAUACAAUUUAAAAACAAAAAAAAAGGAAAAAAAAAGUUUCCAUAUACACAUUUGGAAAGAAUAAAAUACGAGGAUUAACAUUAGGUCAUGUUUAGUUGGUUAGAAAAAUAUUUUAUCUCAUCUUUAUUAUACCUUAUCUUUUACUAAAUAUUGAAUAUUCUUUGAUUUAAAUCAUUGAUGUUAGAAUUUUAUAGAAAGAAACUUCACGAAAAUACAUUAAAAUAAAAAUACCCUAAAAAAUUAACAAAAGUGUUGAUAUUAAAAAUAAUAAGCUUCAAAUAAAUAAUAAAUAAUAAUUUAAACUUUAAAAUUCAUUUAAAUAAAUAAAAUUAAGAUAACGAAUUCAUGAAAAACAAAAAGUAUGUGAAGAUUAAGUGCAAAGAUAAUGGAUUUGUCAAAAAAUUUGAAGAUGUGGAAAGGAAGAUAAAUUCAUAUUUAACAAGAAUAUUAUUUAUUAGAAAUUUGCAAUAAGAAAAUAAAAAAAUUUCAACUUGUGUUAAACACUUGUAUGAAAUUUUUGAAUAAGACAGAUAACAUCUAUUGAGUAUCAUAUUAUAUAAAAAAAAAAAAUACAUAUAUUACACCCAAUGAAUAGGAGAAUAAAAAAUAAGUCUAUUAGCAUGUAAAUAAAAUACAACAAAUUCAUUAACAUGCAAAUUUUUUUAUCAUCCUUUAUCUUCAAACAAUCCCAAUGAAUCCUUAACAAAGUUUCUUGAAUUCGUGCACUUUUCAUGCACUAAUAGAUAGUAUCCCAAAUUUCAUUAUUAUCUACCAUUACAAGUUAUGCUAGAAGCUUUAUCAUGUAUUUAAUCAUCUUCUCAUGAAGAUUGCAAGAAAGUAUUUCUACAUUAUAAUCGAUACAUAUUGUCUUAUAUUAUAAGAUUAUUAAUUAUUUAAUAUGAAAAGAAUAUAAAUUUAUAUAACGUGUUAAUAUCGAUGUCAAAGGAUAUAAAAAGAUGUUUCUAGCACUAAUACUUUCAUUAUAAAAUUAAGUUAAAACAUAAGUGCAUUAUACUUAUGACAUAAUUAAUAAAAAGAUGUUUCUAACACUAAUACUUUCAUUAUAAAAUUAAGUUAAAACAUAAGUGCAUUAUACUUAUGACAUAAUUAUACUAACAUUAUGAUGCAUUAUGACAUGACCCAAUUCAAGAAUUUGUAACUUUUUUACAAAAUUGAAAGUCAUGAACGUGACUUAUGUUACAAACCAACCUUAGAAACCAAAUAAAAUAUCAAUUUAAAUCCGUAAAACUUAUGAUUUAUAUAUAUAAAUCAUUAAGUAAUUUCAAUAUAUUAAGUGGAUGAUAGUAAUAUAUCUAUGAUAGUAAUAUAUCUAUGAUAUGUUAAUAAUACCUGGGGUUUAAAAAUAGACUUUUAAUAUUAAUACUUUUAUUAUGGAAAAAUAUAAGAAGACAACAUGUUUUUAACAAGAAUACCAUGUGUUUUUAUGAAAAUGACAGGUGUCAAACAAUUAUGUGUCACUUGAAAAUUAGCCAUGGUUUUUUCACUUUAGAUGAAUUUGGGUGCGGACCACUUUAGGUGGAAUUGGGCAUAGAUAUUUUGAUACCUAACAAUCUUAUUUGACAGAUGGUAGAUAAUAUUGUCACAUCUAACAUUCUCAUCAUCUAGCCUUUAUUAUAAAAACACAUCACUUUUUUUUUCAUUACAAAAUUUAAUAAAAAAUUCAUUAAUUACACUUAAUAACUAAGUAAAAUAUAAAAACAACUAAAAACAUUAUUAAAUAUAAAAAAAAUGCAAAAAUUAAAAUAUUAGAGUCCAUUUGGCCGUAUAAUUUAAAAACAAUUUUCUGUUUUUAAAAAGAUAAAAUUAUUUUUUAAAAUUUUUAAUAUUGUUUCAUUGUUGUUUUUUAAAAACAAAUUGAAAUAAAAAAUAAUUUUUUGAGAACAAGGACAAGUUAUUUUCACCAAAUUUUAAAAAUAAAAGAAAAAUAUGAACAACUUGUUUUUAAAAAUUGUUUUAAAGUUAAGUAAUAAAAAACAAUUUUUAAAAAUAAGUUUUAGAAAAAUUACCAAACACACAUUUAAUUUCUUACUCUGAAAAAAUAAAAUGAUUUCAAAUUGCUACCAUUACCCUAUUCACUCAUGCAUGUGUUUUAUAAUUUUUUUUUCUUCUUCUACAUGUUUUAAGUUAAGAUAAGAAUUCAUAAAAAACAAAAAGUAUGUGAAGAUUAAGUGCAAAGAUGUGGAAAGGGAUAUAAAUUCAUAUUUAACUGGAAAAAUAUUUAUUUGAAAUUUGCAAUAAGAAAGUCAAAAAAAUUUAACUUGUGUUAAACGUGUAUAAAAUUUUUGAAUAAGACAAAUAACAUCUAUUGAGUAUCAUAUUAUAUAUAUAAAAAAAAACAUAUGUUAUUAAUGUUAAAACAACCGAAUUUUUUUAUCAUCCUUUAUCUUGAAACAAUCCCAACAUCCUUAACAAAGUUUCAAAUUUCAUUAUUAUCAACCAUUACAAGUUAUGAUAAAAGCUUUAUCGUGUUUUUAAAGUUAAGGAAUAAAAAGUAAUUUUAAAAAAUAAACUUUAAAAAAUGUUACCAAACAUUUAAUAUCUCGCUCUAAAAAAAUGAUUUCAAAUUGCUAUCAUUACCAGAUUCACUCACAUGUAUGCUUUAUAAUUUUUUUUUUCUUCUUCUACAUUUUCCAUAUUUAGAUAUUUGUUAAGGUUAUAAAAUAAAGUAAAAUUUAGUAGAGUUGUACUUAAAAUGUGAACUAAAAAAUUUAUAAAACUCAUACCAUAAUUUCAUAAAUAAAAAAUAUGUUAAAAUAAAAUACCUUAAGAAAAAAAAAAUUUAACAAAAGUGAAAACAUUAAAAAAAUUAAACUUAAAAAUAAAUAAUAAAAGAAUGUGUUAAACCUUAAAAGAUUAAGAUAAUGAAUUCAUGAAAAAUAAAAAAUAAGUAAAGAUUAAGUCGUAAAAAUAAUUUGAGAAAUAGAAUUAAGAUAAGAGAUUUGUUAAACAAAUUGAAGAUAUGAAAAGGUGCUAUUUUCCAAACUAUAUUUGCAUUAAAAAUUAUGGAUAGAAUAAAAAAUUAAUGGAAGAAUUAGAUGUAGGAAAAUAUGUAUAAAAAAAAUAAAAAAGAUAAAUAUUUAGAAAGUGAUAAAUUUAUAAUAGGAAAUCAAUAUUUUAUUUUAAUGUUUUUAGUUUUUAAUUUUGUAUUAGUUUUACUUAAUUUUUUUAUUUAAUCAAGGCAAUUAAUGGAGUUUCUAUUAAAUUUUAUAAUAGAAAAAAAUGAUUUUUUUUUAUAAGAAAUAUUAGAUUGUUAGAAUGCUAAUUGUGAAACAAUUAUGAACCGCUUGAGGAUUAGGAGGAUUUUUCUACCGAUUAAAUUUUAAUAAAUAUUAAAUAAAAUGCAUUUAAUUAAUUUUUUUUCUUUUUAUCUUAUUUGUCAAAUUACCAAAUUACAAUAAUAAAAUUUAUUUAAAAUAAUAAAGGAGUAAUUAAAAAAUACUUAUAAGAUAAUUUCCUUUUUUUCAAUUUUGAAAAAUUGGAAAAUAAUUUCCAUUAUUAAACUCAACCGUUUUGUGGUGAAGGUUACUCUAUCCAAUUACAAAUAACAAAACGGUGCGUUUUGGGUGGGGUUCAAGUUUCAACGACGUUUAUUUUGUGGGGUGGAAAUGGCUCAGCGUUUUGUACUUUCAUGAAACGGUGUCGUUUAAGUCGGUAGCUCUUGGUUAUUUCCGAAGCCUUCGCCCAGACUGCUUUCACUCCAUUUGGGGUCUGAUCGAAAACAAUGCUCCUCUCUGCAGUUACGCCCCAGACCCUCGUCGGUAACUCCGGCUCCAACACCACCUCCAGCAACUGUAAUCUCCUCGUCUGCCCUAAUAACCACAAAGUCCACAGCUUUUGCAGGCCGAACGGUUUUACUCAGAAGCCACUCAUUCUCACCAACUCUUCCAAUUCACUCGCCAACAACACCUCCCAGCUCCAAAACCCUAACUCCAACUCUAAGACGCUUCGUCAUGACAGCCUCACUGAUUCUGAUGAAACUGAGGGAGCCAUGGUUGCUUCGGCCUCCGCGGUGGCAUCGGCCAUACGCAGAGCUUCCACAUCUCCUGUCGAUUUCAUCCAGAGGAUCGAGAAGAAUCAAAAGAACGGCCUGGUACUACCCAGCCCGGACUUUCAGAGACUCUGUCUCGAGCAAUUGGACCUGUUUCACAGAAUCGUUGAUCCCAAUGCCCUGCUUUCGGUCAGUUGUGUAUACUUUAACUCUCCGUUUGCUUGACGAGGAAACUGGAAUUCCGAGUUUCUUUUGGUUUCCUAGGUCUUCUCAGCAAUCAAACGGGCUAAUGUUCAGAUUCGGAAACUUGGUUUGUUUUGACUUAAAUGGUUGUAAGAUAUGAUAGAGUAAUUGGUAAGAUAUGUCCAUGCAGGUCUAUGUAAGGCCAGCUGGUAGUUAUGUUAUGGAUCGUCUCGAGCUGCGUAGAGUUACUUUUUAUCCAGGAGUUAAUGGAGCUGACAUUGUGAUAUUAGUUGGAAAUUUUAGUAUCCCGACAGGCUUUCGAGUGGCUGAAGCUGCCCUCUCUAAUCAACAAGUAUGAUUCUUGAAUAUUAAUUGACAUUUCGGUGAGUGUUGUUUGUAGAAGUUGAAGAUUCACUUGAUUUAGAGUGCGUCUUAAUUUCAAUUGUAGGCAGAAGUUAUACCAGAGUGUAGAGCUGUGGUUUUUCCUAUGGUCAAACACCCAUUUGUUGUGGGGUUUUUGGUUGCUGAGCUUCCAAUGGUGGAAGAUGAAAGGGAAAGGCACCCGGUAACACAUUGCACCUCUCCCGAUGAAUCUUAUGCUUUGCCUCCGCAAUCAGAUAUGAAGUUAGGGGAAAUUCAGGCUCUAGAAGAAGAAGGACUGAAAUCUUACAAGUUUACCGAGGAGCAGAGAUUAAAUGCGAUCAACAUUUCUCGCUCUCUAGCAAUGGCUUAUGUUAUGGAUCAGGUAGAUUCCAAAUAUCUUCUUCUGUAAUGUAUGAAAAUUUUCACAGCUUUAAUACCAUUAAGAUGAGCACACCACACACACUCAUGCAGACAAUUGUUAUGUUCCAUGGGAUUGCGGGCCAGAUAUUGGGGGUUCAGGAAUGACUCUAAUUUCAUUUGCAAUGGCUCUCUCCCUCUCUCUCUCUUAGAUAUUGUUUCCUUUGGGCCAACAAGGGCCCACAUGACUUUAAAAUGUGUUUACAUAAUUAAUAGUAGUUCACCACAUAUAUAGUGCAAAUAAGAGUUCACCACAUAUAUAGUGCAAAAACUUAUUCUCCUAUUGAGUAUGAGAUAUCACAUACAAUCCUCAUAAUCUCAUAACCUCCUUAACUAUUCUACCCACAAUCCCAGGAAUUCUCCAAUGUCAAACAUGAGUCGUCUCCAAUCUUUGCUCCAUAUUUACUGAGCUAUCUGCUGGUCUGUUUGCUUGACUAGAGCAUGAUCAAGACAUAUUUUAAAACUGCAUAAUCGAGGAUUUAAUAUCACUGAUCAAGAUGCUGAUGUUCGAUGACAACUGUAAAUUUUUCCUUUUAGAACUUCAAUGAUAACUUUGAGUUGUUUUCCUCCUCCUGGCCCCUGAAGCCCUAGUUUAAUGCUGUGCACAAAUCUUCACAAAGAACUGCACACUCUUUCACAAUGACAGAUACCUUGCUGGACAUGUGAGCUCUUGCAGUGAUACAACACCCUUGCUCAUCUUUAAUCACAUGGGCACCACCUUCAAUUCCUAAGUUGUGGUGUCUUGAGCCGUCAUAUUGAGCUUCUAAACUCUUUUACACCGCCAGCUGAUGUAUAAUAUUCUUUCAUUCUAUUCCUGCAUUACAAUUAACAAAGUCCAGGUUAAUAGUCACUAGAAGCAACUCCCUUGACUAGUCCAUCUAAUUUCUUUUUUUAUCAUUUUGGUUUCCCUGAUCUCUAGUGGAGUAUUUGUGUUAUUACUGGCUUUGAAUGCGUAUAGCUUGUUUCUAAUUUGGAUGACUAGCUUACAUGUGCUGCUGGCUGAGGUUUUCCUCCUCCCUGCAUUUUUCAUGGACUUUGAUCAUUUAAAAAAUUCUGGCUAACUUGCUUAUUUCUUCUACAGAAAGCAAUGUUACUCCAACAAUCAUCCUGGCAAAAUAAUGUCAGGAUGAGUGAUUUGGUUGAGCAAGUAAGUUGUCUUACUGAUCUUUUAUUUUGGUUUGGUUUAAUUUGGAGAAUCUUGCUCUCAUUUCUGUUUUAAUUUCUCACAGAUCCGUGGUCCUCUUUCCAGUAUUCGAACUUUAAGUAAAAUGUUAUCUCUUCACAUGAAGAGAAGUGAGGUUUGUGUGCAUUGAUGUACUUCUUAAGCUUUACCACCAAACACCACCAACCCCACCCUCCCUUUUUUUCCCUGUUUGGAUGUUGCGUUUAUAUGUGAAAGCUAACAGCAUCAAUGUCUUUGCAGAUUGCUAAUGAUAUUGUUGAAGACAUAGUGGUGCAAGGUGAUCGCAUGAGAGAUGCCCUUCAACAACUGCAGGAUGCUGUUCACCUGACAAAGGCACAAUCUCUCUCUCUCUAACACGCGUGCGCCCACACACACACAGAGAUGUUAAGAGAAGCUCACACCUGAUUUGAUCAUGCCUUUAGGGUGAGGAUCCUAUCCAAUGCAUAGGAUCAUAAGAGAUGUGCUACUCUUCUUCAAAAUGACUUGUGGCAGAUUCCCAAAUCUAUAGUUUGAGAAGAUGCCUCAUCAAUUUUUUCGUAAAAAAAUACAUUAUCUUUGAUUAUUUACUAUUAAAAUAAUCAAAUAAACAUAAAACCUUAAUAAAAUAUUAAUUUUAAUUUACUUUAUUUUUAUUUUUAUUUGUCUUAUUAAUAAAAAUACUGAAAUAAAAAAAGCAAAGUGUUUUUAAAAAAUUCAAUAAAUACAGAAAUUGAAUGUUUUGAAUAUUUAAAAAUAAAUAAAUAAAAGAAACAAAAUAUUUAUUCUUUGUCUUAAGAUUUAAUAUUUUUUAUUGAUCAAUUGAUUUGUCAAGCUUUUCCUAAUAAAAAAAAUGUGAAAUAUAGAAAUAAGUUGUUAAUUUCUUUUUAAAUUAAUCAAUAUAAAAAUUGAAUUUCUUGAAUUGUUUUUUUAUGAUAAAAUUCAAACUUAAUAGAAAUAUAGUUUUUUCUUUUAAUUCUUAUUCAAUUUAUUGUAAAAAUAAUAAUUUAUUUCUAUUCUAAAAUUCAGUUUUUAAAUUUUUUUAAUUGAAUUGUUAAUAAUAAAACAUAUAUAGAUUUUUUAAAGAAAGAAUUAAUGAGUCUUUUUUUCAAGCCUUAAGUUUGGGAAUAUGCGACUUGUCGUUAAUUUGAGAGGAGAAUUGUAGAUCUCCUAUCAUUUUAUGCAUUGGAGAGGAUUCUAACCAUGCCUUCCAACUUGGCUUUUCACCUUAUGCAAAAGGGUCCUGCCACAUGCAUGAAAAAAAAUAAAAAAAAUGGAAAAUAACAUUCUUAUCACAUAGUGUAAGUUUUAAACACCCAUUUAUCUUAUUUUUUAUGUUCUAAUAUAAAUUAUCUAUUUAUCUUUCAUCCAUGAACUUAAGAAGAGCCCACACCUUAUUUGAUUAUGCCUUCAAAGUCACCUUUGCACCUUAUGGCAAAGGGUUCCUGCCACAUGGACGAAAAACACUAGCUCUGUGUGUCUGUCCCUCCCUCUCCCUUCUUCCAGUAACUUAAGAAAAGCUUAACAUCGUAUUUGUUUAUUCCUUCAAACUCACCCCUUUACCUUAUGUCAUAAGGGUUCUGUGUCUGCACAAAAGAAUGCCUCCCUCCAGGAAAAUAAGAAAAGCUCACACAAUAUUUGAUUAUGACUUCAAACUCACCUGUUCACCUUAUUUGCCUCAUGCCAAAGUGGUCCUGCUGCAUGCAUAAAGAGAAAUUAGCAUUCUAAUCACAGAUCACAGAUUUUGAACAUUUAUUUAUCUUUUAUUAUUAUUAUUUAUUAUUUAAUAUUUAUUGUUUUUAAAUUCAAAAUUAAAACAGGUAUUUAACUUUUAAUUACUUAAAUGGGCACUUCAUUAUAACCAUUCGACAAUUUGUUUCACAAAAUCACCUUGCUGAAUAGGAUUUGCAGCUGGCUGAUGUGCAAAAUAGUUGUUUCAUAACUUAUUUACAUCUGGUUGUCUGAAUUUGCAUUACCUCUCUUAAAAAUCAUAUUUUCCAUGUAAUAAUUACAUUUAUAUGUAUUUUUAUAUGUGUUAUUCUUGUUUAGUUGGUGGGUUUUUUUUUUCCAUCCAAGGUUGAGAAUGAGCUUCCUUCUUUCCAAACUGUCGUUUGACAGAAUGCACUUUCUCAAGUCAUCUUGCAAGUCUUCAUCCCAAUUGCAGUUUAAAUCAUAACUCACUAGCUUAUUUUAAGAUUAUUGAUCAACUUGAAUUUCUUAAGCCCUUUUUAUUUUCUCCUCUCCAUGUUAUUAUUUGUUGCUUCCAAUUUGUUGUUUUAUUAAAGGAAUUAAUAAACUAACUUUUUAGCUUGUGAAAAUAUUCCAGGCUAAUAUAGUGCGAUACAAUGAGGAAACAUUGAAGAAAAUGUACAAAUCAACUUAUGCCCAUGCUGAUUCAGUUAAUCAAUUAUCAGAUAACUUUUGGAGGGAAACUUCCAGUAGUAAGGCAGAAGAAUCUGGUGAACCACUUUCUUUAACUUCUGCAGCCAAUGAUUUAGACAUGCCUACACCUCCUCUUGCUCUUGCACGUGUAUCACAGCAUGGCAUCAGGUUAGUUUCGCCCAAAGUCUUUUUUUUUUUUUUUAAUUACUUUAUAAGUCAUGAUUGUAAAAAGCCUUUUAGUUUUUUAUAUCAUGAUUCAAGAGGAAAAUUGCUGAUUGAUGAUAGAACAUUCAAUGUCUUUUCAGUUUCAAACAAACUUAUUUUUGAAAUCCUUCCUUAAAAAUGUUCUACCGAUUAAUGUGCCUGUGUUACUCAUUUGGUUCAUCAUUGAUGGACAUGAUGAGACAGGAAGGAAAAGGGAAAAUGUGUCCUGUAAAAUAUAGGAGGUUUCACUCUUAGAAAUUAUGUAGAAUUUAAUGGGAAGAAAUACAAGAAGUUCAACACAAGAACUGUAUUGGAAUGUGUAGCAAGUGAUAGGACAUUAUAUGAGAAAACUAAAUUGUGAUAGGACACUAAAUGAGAAAACAAAAUUGUGAUAGGUCUCACAUAGAAUUGUAUAAGUUGAGAAAAUGUGAGAAAUCUCCUUGUCAAGCCUUCACAAAAUAUUUUGAUAGCAAACAUGUUAGUUCUCAAGCAUUUCAUGGAGGUGUAUAAAAUGUUUUCUCUAUGGUUUUUAAUAUUUUCGGGAAAUUUCUCUUGAAAUUGGUGAUUAGAGCUGAUUGAGUGAUGGACUCAAUGCCAUAUAAGGAAGGGGCAGUUUACACCGUCAUCGAUGAGGCAUAUGCUUGGUUGAUUGUCUUAUCACUUAUGUGCGUCAGUUCAUGCAUACUUCUAUUCCUGUUGGUAAUUGUAAAACCUAAGUCCCAUAGGGUAACACCUAGAGGGGGGUGAAUGGGUGAAUUCCAAUAGGUGGUUGAGUUUUUAACCCAAUUAAACAUGUGAGAUAUCAUGGCUAAUCAAAAUAAUCAAAAUACUCAAAAUACUCAAACAAACAAAUAAGUAUACACGAGACUCAAUAAUUUUUAUGUGGAAAACCCUCACACUAACUGUGGAGAUAAAAAACCAUGGGGUCUAAGACCUCUAAUCUUAAUCUAUUAUUCGAGCUCAAGUUACAUAGAUUUAUGUGGCUGCUUAUCCUAAAACUUACUGACCAGUACCUACAACUUGAUCCACGUCCAUGACAUAGCAAUCUCCAAUCACUCUAGUCAAUACGCUUCAAUCCCAUUGAAGGGAUGUAGGUCUUUGAACAACCCUAGAUUCAACGAUUUGAAUCCUUCAACGAGAGAUUGGGAAUAGUAUGGCAAGGUAAACUUACUCCCAUGAAAAGUGUUUGACCCUAGAAGGGUUAUAACAGGGUGGAUAUAGGCAUAAAAGCCCUAGGGGAUCAAUAUUGCAAAGUUUUCAAACUCAUUUUUGCGUGAAAUAUCCAAAAAUAUUUUGCCAUAUUUUGUACGAGUGCUUGAGCACACUUAAACACUGCUCUAGCACCUUGGGAUCUUGAGCGGUCCCAACACUUGAGCGUUGUUCCACCACUCAAGCGGUCCAACCUCUUUUCAAAAUAAAUUAAUUUAAGUUUUUUAGUUCAAUAAAAGGAAACCGAUCCACUUAACCCUUUGAAUACCUAACUUGUCAUAAGUCGAACCUUUUUAAACUUACUUGUGACCUUUUGGUUAAGCGAGCGGUAACCUUGAAUCUUUAAUAGAGAGUAAGUCACUAUCUAAAAAGAUUAUCUAAGCCAGAAAAUAAAUUGGAAUAAAAUUGCCAACAUACAAUGAAGAUUCAUUGUCCUAACAAUAAUGAUGCCACACCAUCUCAAACACCAAUAUCAUAGUCACUGACCACUUCACAUUCACUCUCAAACACCAGUAUUCCAUUCCUGUUGGUAAUGGUGCCACUCCCAUGUCAAACAUUGACAUUCAAGUCACUAGCAGGGUGUAAAAGAUUGUGUCCUUUCGACCAAAUAGCCUUGUUGUUUCUUAGUUUGUGUGGUCAUAUCUUGAGAAAAAAUUCAGGUUAUAUUCUUAUUGCAAAAUGAAGUCAUUUUACAAGUAGUAUUCAUUUUCCGCAUUGAGCUUCUCAAUUAUUCGGUCUUUUUUGGGAACUUUUUCUGGACAAUAGCAUCCUGCUUUCCUGGCAGUAGAAUUCAAUGUAAGAUGUCUGGAACAUUUGUGGUUAACUCUGACAUUUAAUUCAUUUAUAGCUUAUUUCUGCAUGGUCAUGAGUAAAAAGUACAAAAAACCAAUCCGCUAUGAACUAUUUAUAACUUAGACCUACCCCUAACCCCCAAUCAAUCUCCUAUUUUGGCUGGUAUGCAUGAUAAUUUCUGUUAUAUUCUUCUGCUGUUAAUUUGGAAGUUCCCUUUUGCUUAUGUCUUUGUUUAUGUCAGGAAGACCAUGCAAUGUUUAUGAUAUACUGGCAGAUUUGGUUGGGGCUGUUAAACCUCUUGCUCAUAAGCAACAACGUGAGGUGGAGCUAAUUGGACGCUCACAAACAUUGCAAGUUGCUGUUGAAGAACCUGCUCUGAGACAAGCUUUGAGCAAUUUAAUUGAAGGUGCAUUAUUGCGUACACGUGUUGGGGGAAAGGUUGAGAUAUUGUCUACUGGAACACCAGCUGGUGGUGCUUUUGUUGUGAUUGAUGAUGAUGGGCCUGAUAUGCACUACAUGGUAAUUAUGGCAAACUUACCCAAGUGUGUGUGAGUAUGUAUGCUUUGCUGUCUUGCUUUCCUCUUUCAAAUAUAGCUGUCAGUGUUAUUAAUGACCUUUGUACUUGUUGGGUGUGGUUCGUCUCUUGUUCAUAAUGCCGUUUGGGGUUUUUGACUUGUGUGGGCUCUGAGCUUGCUGUUGCUCCACAGUACAUUAGUUCUUGCUUUGACAAUGAAGUUCUACUUUUUCAACAUUCCUCACCCUUUUCCCCUCCAAAAAAAAAAAAAAGGAAAAUAAUAAUGCUAUGUAAAAAUAUCUGUGGUUUGAGGAAUAGUUUCUUAUAGGGAUAGAAUUGCACUAGGAUAGUAAGGAGAGGAAGACAUUCUCCACAACUUAAUAGGGGAUUGAGGGUUUUAUUGGCUAAGAAUUUAUCCUGAUUAUGAUCUUAGGCAUCACCCUUUUUUUUUUUUAGUCUUUUUCUGUCUGUGUGUGUGUGUUGGGGACUGUCAAAUUACUGUUGAUGGUUAUGAAAUGACCCACUACUGUUGUUCUUCCCAGCUUUGGUUUAUGGUUUGUCAAAUGAUGUCACAGCCGUUUUAUUUGAGUGUGUUGAGAAGAAAAUUGUCUCUUGCUGCACCAAAACUCCUUUGUAAAUAGAGAACCAAGGUGGCAGCUGACAUGCUAUCAUUUAUAUUUGAAAUUGAGAGUCAUGUAUGCUCCAGUUUACUCUUUCACGCUUGAGCAACUUCUUUGACAUUUCUAGCACCUGUGAAUGAUGAUUUGGCAUGAGUUGACUAAUGUGGCAUAUGAAACUUGAUUAUUCUUUCCAUGUGAGUUAGAUUCUGCUAGUGAAAAAUGUGGAAUGACUAGAGGGAUUCACACCCCAAACAUCAGCCUUUCAGUGUCUGCUUCUACUCUGAUUUUGACCUAUGUUGCUAGGCAUGUGAAUUAUUUUAUGGGGCAUGUUUGCUUGCAGACACAGAUGCAUUCUCUCACACCAUUUGGAGCAGAUCUCUUCUCAGACAAUAUGCUUGAAGACAACAUGACAUGGAACUUUGUUGCUGGCCUGACUGUUGCUUGUGAGAUACUUGAGAGUUAUGGCUGUGUUGUCCAUGUCAUAUCACCACGUUCUACAGAUGCUGCCCUUGGAGCUGGUGGCACUCGUGUAAAAAUCUUGUUACCUUCUCUUGAUGCUGCUUCUGAUCUAAAUAGCUCCUAGAACAAAACUGGGACUGUCUGCUAUACAGGCCAUUCCGUUAAACAUAAAACGAAUUUCUUUGUCCAGUUUGAGAAAUGACAAAGAAUGAGUUGUUGGCAGAUGCAGUGAGUUUUUGCCGGUUCAAUGCAUCCUCUUUAUCUGUUAUUUGUGGGGAUUUUGUAUAGUUUGCUUUAUUCUUAUUGCUGCAUAUGCAGCCAAAAGAGAUUGUUGUAAAUAACAAGCUUUUAGAGUUUACUGGAAAUUACAGUAGUUGAUAGAUACUGUUUAAUGAUACUAUAAACUCUGUUUGUGAUGUUAUAACAAGCAGAAUACAGCGUUGAAGAAUGAAUUAGUUGACUGGGAAAGAAAAAGAAUGUACGUGCUUUUUGCUGUUUGUGAGAAUCGUGUAGACUGAUUCUAAAGCAAAACUGGCUUGGGGGUAAAAUUCUGAUUGACUGGAUCAUGUAGUUGAGCUCAGGAUGAAGUUUUGCUUGUUAGGUAUGUUUGGUGGCUCGCAUAUUCUUUUGAGAAGCCAAGCCUUCCCAGCGUGUGGUUGUAUUCGACUGGUAUGGGCCUUGUCUGUUUCAGCCCUUCCAGUCCACUGCAAACCAGCAAUUCCCACCCAACCGACCACCAUGUAGUGGGCCAUGGCCCACUUCGCUGGCCAGCAAAGGAGAAGCGUGUCACGCUCCCCCAAUUGUUUACUUCGUCAUAUAAUAAAACAUAAAUCAAAUAAAUGAAUAAAUAAUGAGGAUGUGAAUGCAUCGCUGUCAAGGGGUCCAAGGUGGUGCACCCAACCCCAACCCACAAUGGAUGGUGUUCACCGGCCAAACACUUGAACGCGUUGAAGCCAUCUCCAUUGCUUUGAAGAAGUCCACAUUAUAUUUUUUCCAAGUUAGAAGCCAACCAUAGCAACAAUUCUUUUGAAGGCUUGGAGAACGAGAGAAGCAUGUACAAGUCAAUCCAACCUAACUUUGACCACCUCAUUCAAAAUCUAUUAACACUAGCACAUUAUUAGCAUUCACUGACCGCAGUCUACUCCUUAAUUUUCAAGGAAACACCCAGACAUUGGAUUGUGGACUACGGCAUGAAAUUGAAAAAUUGGUGAUGCUUCCACUGUAAAUGAUGUUAAAUGUACAGUAAAAAGGGUGGUAAAAAAAACAUAAGCUCUGGAAUGAGGUCUUUCCAUGACUCCAUCUACAUUUCAUGGGCCAACUCACUUAGCUGGCCAAUGGCCCAAUGCUCCUUCCAUUUUUUGAAAUAGGGUAAAAAAAAAACCCCUUUCACUUGCCGAACCAGCAGUGGUGGGUAGAGUGAAUGGUAGUUGGAAGCAUGUCACAUUCCACUACUGUGAACCUUGAAGUGGUAAUUUAACAAACAAAUAUAUUCCAAGUGGAGUGAAAGAUGAGGUCCGACCAUAUCUACUAACCCAACCUCAUCCUCUGAUUCCUCUCCAUUACCAUUCUGAUUCUGCCUUUGCCCGUAUUGCAGUUUCUAUAACCUAAACAGUCGUGUGUUUGCCUAUAAUAAAUGACACCAUGAAAUCUCGUUUCGUAUCCACUUUCUCUAUAAAUACUAAAUAGCAUUAAUUCCCUUAUAAAAAGAGAACCGUUUUCCAACAAGGUAUCAUUCUCAUUCCUUUCCCACUAGACUCCCAAGUUAAAAAAAAUUUAAAAUAUUAUAAAAUCCAAGUAAAACAAAUCAUGCAAAUGGGGAAGGUGUCAAAUUCCAUAAAUGAAAUGGGGUCAUGAGUGUGGUAGGAUUGAGGCGGUCAAUACCCCACUCCCCCCAGAGAAAAGUCAAAAAUGAUUUCUGUUAUUAGUCCUAAAAGUUCACUUAUUAGGACUGUAAUUAGUCUAAUCUUGAAGGCGGUUCGGCGGUUUAGUGUGUAAUAACAGUAUAUUCAAAGAUGUUUCUUAAGCAAAUUAAUCAAACCCUGUCCCUUUUCCCUCUUUUUUCUUUUCCGUAUAUAAUACUAAUCUUGAAUCUUUGAUUUCCCAAAGUUCACGAGAAAAUUAUUCAUUCCCUUUUCUCCAGAAAAUUCCUCGUUUUCUCCUUUUCUUUUUCUUUUUUAUUUAAUUUCUUCAGCUUUCCCUUUUGUCUUUUGGUGUCUUGGGGAGAUUUCGAAAAGCCCGUCACGAAGUUUUUAAAAAGAGUUGAAGCUGUAGGACUCUCGUGAUUCGGAGCUUUUUAUGCUUUCAGUUCGCCGGAUCUUGGUCGUCUUCUUCGCCCUUUGUUCAACGUGAUUUUCCUGCUGGGUAUGUUUUGAGUUCAUUUGGUUGCUGGGAAAAUGCAGGAAAAGGGAAGGAGGAGAUCAUGAAUCCUUUUGAAUUGUUCGUUUUCUGGGAACCAGAGCAAUAUGAAGCAUCAUUUAUUCUUCCUUUCUUGUCUUGGCCUUUCUCAAAAACCGAACCAGUUUCAAUCAUAUUUUAUCAUUCAAGUUUUACUGACGUCGAUAGGAGGUGGAAAAUUUGAUUCCUAUCGACUCCAGUUAUAAUCUUUUUAACUAACAUUCGGUCGAUAUGACCCCUUUCUAAACUGGUAGAUUCUGAUGUACGUAUCAUUUUGUAUUGUGGAUCGAAGAUCGAAGUUGAUUUACAUUAAUUCACAAAACUGAUUUGAAUAAUCAGGAAUGUCUAUCAGUUUUUAAGCUGACUUUAUGCUUGAGUUAUUGGAAUUUUAAUUCAAUAUCUUUGAAUGUAAGCAAAUGCGGGUUGUCUUUCCCCCGACUAUACUGAUAGGAUACUGGGAUUCGGGUUGUUAUAUCUGAGUUGUAAUUGCUAUUCUAAGAGGGCAUGCCGUUACUUGCCUGUGUGGUGCUGGGGUUUGUGUCUGCUAAUUAAAGUUGUUACUGUCAAAAGGGGGCACAUGGUUGCUUUCUCAUGGAGGAUAUGGAGGAAUAAGGACAUGGUCACUUGCUCCUUUAAUCAUUCAUAUGGAGUUUGAAGAAUUGCUUCUAGCUAGGUCUGAGUGUAGUGUUGAUGAGUGAUUUUCUUCCAAUCUAGGAGCCUUUUAUGUCUACAGAGUAUAAUAACAUUAUACUCAUUAUGUUAUUAUUUUUAUUUGGGACUUGAGUUACACCUCUCUUAUUAGGCUUGUAGUAUAAAUUCAGUAUGGGGAGAGAUUGAGAUAUUAUUUUGAGGGUCUCACAUGAACGUGUGCUAAUCCUUUGAGAGCAAAUAUUUUCUGGUAGGGAUGAAAAGGUCAGCUUUUAGCACCUAGCAGUGUCUCUGAGUGGGUUUUUUUAUCUAAGUAUUUGAUUAAAUUCUGCAGUUUAUAUGUGCUUCAUAAAGACCCACUUUCUAAUACCAAAUUGGCUGUAAUUUUGGGCACCUUCUGUAGAAUUAUGAGCAUGUUUCCUUGUUGAAGUUGCAAUUUAACUCUUCUUUUGUUUCAUCAUCUCAUAAACUUUCAUUUAGAUUCAAAAGUUGCAUACCCAAAAACUUUGGGUCAUGUUAGGUCCAUCUUCCAGUCAUGAGGGUUUCUCUUUAUUUUCUGACGUACUGACACUCAAUUUAUUAAACAAUGCAGAGCAGGUCUUUCUAUCUAUAUUGCAGCUUCUCUUGUUUUGAAGAUAGAGACAGAAGAUUGUAAAUACAAUGAGAAAUGUUGGACGCAGGUUGAGAACUUCCUGUUUCUUCUUUUAGUAGAAAGAGCUCAUUUUUUCCCUAGGAUUUUGCUUAGAUAUAUGUGGUAUCAAAUCAAUUUUAUAUGACGGUUUCCUCUUCUUGGUUGCAGUGUAAUUGUUAGAAAACCAAAUGAGACUAUGAGGCUUAUUGUAACAAUUUCUGUUGGAGUUGUUUUUGGCUUUCUAAUAGGAAUAUCUUUUCCAACUUUGUCAAUAACUAAGGUACAAUUGCAUUGUUCUUAGUUUUUUGUUUUUGUUUUGUCUCCUCUCUGUUAUGUUCAUGGUUUUGCUAAUUAUUUUAUCUUGUUGUAAUAUUGCUUGAGUUAUUAAACUUGUUUCACUAUGUCAAAUUUUGGCAGCUGAAUCUCCCAUCCAGCCUUCUUCCCAACGUUGAUAUCGCUUACAUUCGGGACAAAAGUUCAGGCUUUUCAACCCAAGCACUGUUGGAUGCUUUGUCUUCUGCAAAGUACAACAGAACACAAGCUCAAAAUUUAAAUGGCACCUCAAAGGUAUGGCUCCUCUCAUUAUACCUGUCACGAGUAAAGAGUCCUGACUUUCAAGUUUUAUAUGGCUGGAAAAUUUGUUACUGUUAAAGACUAAGUUUGAAUUUAAUCACUUUUGAACUCUAACCUGGGCCAAAGCUACGACUCUGAAACCAUGCGGUUCUCAUUUAUCACGUAAAUCCAUUUGGGAUUUUUGUAAUCUUUACUGCAGAUAGAAAAGCUGGUUCAAUGUUUUAUGAAUAAAGAACACUAUAAGACACUUGUACCAUUGGUUAAGUGAAAUUUCUAAUCUUACUGCUGACAGGAAGAAGAGGAUGUUGUUUUCCUUUUACAUGAAGCAAACUAGCCUUUUAUGUUCUUAAGAAAAUAUCAUUUAGUGGUAACUCAAUGAAGGUGUGGUAUAAGUUAUUUACUGUUUUAGGUGUUAUGUAGCCUCAACAGAAUUGUAGAAGGUUAAAUAACCACAUACCCUUGUAGCUUAAGCUGUCCAGGAAUGGUUUCAACGAGUUUAUGUCAGACUAACCCCUUUAGAUGUAGCCAUCAACCUACACAUAGGGAGUUAGAUUGACAACUGACAAAAAUGCAGAUGGGGUUAAUGCUGAUGCCGAGUAGGAAAAUGAGAAAUAAAACUAGAAUCAUGUGAAUUUCAUCUAGAUACCCAAUGCUCAAAGGUCUUCUAGGUUUUAGGUGCAAGGCGAUAUCUGAGCUGCACACCUGAACGAAGUGAGGCAAACCCUAGGGUGCAUGUCAAUUUUAUAAAAGAUUGUAAAUUUGGGAAUGCAAUAUAUUUAUCCAUGAUCAAGUAUUGUCUAAAAUUCCAAUUUAGGCAAUAAAUAAAUCAAGAUCCCAAUCAUUACAAAGAAGUAUCAAACAAAAGAAUAAUGCACUUGCGUAAAAAUUUUAAUAUUCAGUCAUAAAUUUCAAGAAUUGACAUGUAAAAAGGAGCAAAAAAAGAAAAAAGAAAAAGAAUAGAUAAGGUGUGCCUCUCCAACAAGGUGCUACAGCCGAGUUACUGUGCCUUGGGCCUAGGUACACUUUUAGCAACUAUCCCACAAGGCAAUGGAUUUUAUAAAAUGAUUCUGAAAUAUUCUAGUAUCAAAUCAUAAUCUAAUUAAUUGGUCUAGUUAACUAAGUUAUAAUGCAACCUUCCUAAGGUUAUGUUUGGUUAUUGGAAAGUACUAAGGAAAGAAAAAAAAAAUGCCAAGGAAAAUGAUUUUCUUAUGUUUGGUUUUACUAUGGAAAAUAUGAAAGAAAGUUAAAUAUAAUUAAAAUUACUAAGAAAUUGGUAUAUUUUUAAAUUAUUUAAUCUUUAUAUAGAAAAGUUAAAUGAGUGAAAAAAGUUUGAAGUGGUAUAUAAAAAUAAUUUAUUGACUUUAAAUCUAUUUUCUAUUUUUCUUUACUUUUCCUUUCCUUUCUAUUUUCUUUUCCUCACAUUUUCCUUCAAACUUUCCAGGAACCAAACACAACCUAAAUUUCUUCAUAUUCCAAUAUGCUGAUGAGAGACAUAUACAUUAGAAAAUUCCUAGAUCAAUUGAAUAAACUAACAAAGUGCCUUUGCCUUGGUCAAGAACUGUCUAUUUUGUUAGAUGGCUUCAAUUGAUUAUCGUUUAUGUGUUGCCUUGAAAAAAUGGAAAAAAUAAAACAAAAGAGAAAAUUUAGUAUUUUGGUGCAGAAGCAUAAUACAUAUCAGGUUUUGUGCAAUUCAGCUUGCCAUAUUGCUAGUGUAGUAGCAUUUAUGAUGACUCUAUAAUUAUUGUCCAGUGGACGGGGAUGCACUGCACACUAGUUGCAUUUGUGGUGAUUUUAUUAUGAUUGGCUGGUGGAUGGGGAUUUGCUGCAUUUUAUGCAUGGCCAUGAGAUUGAACCAUGUGAUGAUGGUUUUGUCAUGGUCAUUUUGUUCAUCUUCUACCUAGUCCUACCUUCACUCUAUCCAUUAAAGUUUAACUUUACCCUGUGUGUACCUACUGUUGUAAGUUCCUGCUUGUGAUUCGACAGUUAUGUUUAUGCCUGGAACAGUUGGUGGAUGUUGUGAUUAUGAAAAAAAGAUUUCCUCAGUUGUAGAAUCCAGUAGAAUCCAGCAUGCCAUACUGAUGGAUUCAGGAACUUAUGAAUGUAUUGGCAUGAGUGCCCUACCUGUGAACAUCCAGUUCUAAGAUGCAAAGAUGGUUGAAUUGUGGAUGAUAUUGAAACAAAGUAGACACCUUGCCUCUUUUUGUUUGUUUGUAUUAUUUUUUUUUCCUCUUUUGUUUUCCUUUUCUUCUGAAAUGUUCUGCUUCCAUCUUUUCUCCUCAUGCUAGUUUUCUGUUGCCAGCCCUACAUUUGAUGUCAUCAACAUGCUCAUUAUUGUUGUUCUUAUUAUCAUUAUUGUUGUUUUGGGUUGUGGUUGAUUUUCCCUUCCCCUGCUUUGGCAAAUCACUCAAAUAACAUUUUCUUGAUCGAGGAAGAAGUGGGAUGCCUUCCUCUGUUGUUUUAUGAGCACCAUUGCUCUUGUUCCUUUUCCAAGACCAAGCACGUUCCAUAAGGCAUUGUAUAUGGAAAUUUAUGAAACAAAAUGUUGGUGGAAGCCAUAUAAUGCUUUGCAUUCAUGGAGUGUAAAUGCUGAUAAACACAACUGCUUAUCAGUUCUUUCAUCGUCCAAGUACUGAAAAGAUAUAAAAGAUGGCCAGGUGCAUUGAUGAAACUGGGGAAGCGAGUGGGGAUUCUAUGAAAUUAUUUCUCUAUUGGUUUCUCACCAGUUUGCAUCAACAUGAUUUUGGGUGAAAAGCAUGAGGCCACUUGGGAUAAAAAGCUUAUGACUCUGUUAACUGGAAGGCUUUCAUAAUAUAUUUUUUUGCAUCUCUUUGUGUGAUUAAUAUUGGUGUGGUGGUAAAAGUUGGCCAUCUUCUAUGUAUACAUGCAUACUGGUAUCUAAAGUUGGAUUACUUUAUUUCUUUGUCAGCAAGCUGCUGCCUCAACCUUAUCUCUCUCUCUCCAUAUAUAUAUAUAUAUAUAUAAAUAUAUGUGCGUGUGUGUGUGUUAAAUACACCCACCUUUGUCUGUUUAUUUUUUCAAUGAGGUGCACAUUGAGAGAGGAAAGGUAGGUGUAAACAUGAUCCUAGUAUAUAUAAGCACUUUUUUUUUCCUUGUGUGUGUAUUAGAUGAUGCAUAUUAACAUAGCUUAAAUAAUAGCAUCCUAAUUUAUGAUUCUGAUGCAGAUUUGGGCCCCUUCAAAUCCUCGGGGUGCAGAAAGACUACCACCAGGCAUUGUUGCAGCUGAGUCAGACUUCUACCUCCGUAGAUUGUGGGGUAAACCUAGUGAGGUAUGUAUCUUCCAUGAUCAAUGCUGUGUGCUAUACUGUUGAACUUCAGAUUUUCUUCUAGAACUUCUAUUGCAUUGGUGUUUUGAGUGUCCUAUAAUUUAAACUUCAUAAAAUCUAUCAUGUGGUCUGCUGUGAUAGGUAGAAUAAUAGUUUUCUGUUUGCUUGUUAUAAGGCGGAUGCUAAUUUUCGUCAUUGGAACCAGGGAGCGAUGAUAAAUAGCUGUCUGAUGUGUGACAGUGAUAUUAAUGACACCUAAGACCUUGCAAACUGUCAUUCCUGAAUAUAAAGAGAAAGAGGCACCCAAAGGGUGUCCCAAAGCAUCUCAAUGUGUGUUUGUAUGGGGAUAUGAAAUGUGUAUGUGUAUGGGAUCUUUGUCAGAUAGACCUAUUUUGCUUCAUAUGAGAAUGCUUGUUUUUCAAUUGUUUUUUACCCAGUGUUUUUUUUUCUUUGGGAUUAUCACAUUGAAAGAAGACAAGAAUUUGGUUUGUUAGAAUAUUUAGGAAUAAGAGAGAAAGAUAGAGGUCCUUAUCAGGGAUAUGUUUGCUUCUGAUUGAUUUCUAAUUGAUUUUUUCCCUUCAUUAUGUUGUAUCCAAGUACCCAUAUCUUGUAUUGAGGUCCUUUCAACUGAGUUCUUGUAUCCUAAAAUUUGGGACACCUGGACAUGCAUUGCACCCAAACCCAUGCAAUAUAGGUCACAGGGGAGCUAGAAUAUAGGCUAUGAAAUAUAAAUAAUUGCAUAAAACAAGAAAGAUGGCACAUGUAGAAACUUAUCUCCACCAUGCACCCUGAGCAUUUCAAGUGAUAGAUGCAAAUUGGAAUGAAAGUGGAUACAAGAGAUAAAGAAAGCAAUCUCUGUAAUGUGGAAAGAUGUACUACAUUAAGGAAAAUAUCUCAUUCACCAUCACUUCUACACCUUGUUGGGUGUCAGGUGGUGAUUGAAGGAUGCACAACUUUUGUAUUCAAUGCAUCCUGAUCACUUUUUCCAUAUUCAAUCAUCACAGUAUAUGCAGGUAGUAGAAAAUUUAGUAAAAGCAGUGAUGUAUGUAGCACCAUCCUUACAUUAAAUGUAUGUCGAAUCUAGACAAUCAGGAAUUCUUUGUCAGGUGUGUGAGUCUGUAUAGUUUACAAGUAAUAGUAAGAGAGAGGAACAGAAAGAGAAAAGGAUACUUUUACCUUGUAUCUCUCCUUAGUCUGGAUGCUGCUGCUUGAUAUUUGCUCUUCAAUUCUAAUAGAUGGAUGCUUGGAUAUCUCUGACGUUGACAUACUAGAAUAUUGUGAUCUCUGAUUUUAACUUUGUGGUAUUGAUCUAGUUUACAUUGGCAGGACCUGACUAUCAAACCAAAGUAUCUUGUAACAUUUACUGUUGGUUAUGAUCAGAAAAAAAAUGUCGAUGCAGCAGUUAAAAAGGUUGAUUUCUCCCCCUCUCCUCUCUGCUACUAAAUUUGUCUCUCUUCUGCUACUAAAUGUCUGUUGUGCAGUUCUCUGAGGACUUUACCAUCCUUCUAUUUCAUUAUGAUGGUCGAACAACUGAAUGGGAUGAAUUUGAGUGGUCAAAGAGGGCCAUUCAUGUGAGCGUUCGGAGACAAACAAAAUGGUAAGGAGCUUCUGCAAAGGAUUAUUUUUGAACAGAAGUUUCACUUUUUCUGGUAGGUUUCAAUAAGCUAUGGUCUGUUUUAUUCUUUUAACUUCAUUCUUUGCAAUUUUGUCCUAGGUGGUAUGCCAAAAGGUUUCUGCAUCCUGACAUUGUGGCGCCAUAUGACUAUAUAUUUAUCUGGGAUGAAGAUCUAGGAGUUGAGCAUUUUAAUGCAGAAGAGUGAGUGUUGGACAUAAAUAUCUUUUUUAUGGCAUUUGUGUUUCAGUCUACCCAACUUAUGUCAUUUUCCAAUUCCAGAUAUAUAAGACUAGUGAGGAAAUAUGGCUUGGAGAUUUCACAACCUGGUUUAGAACCUAAUAAAGGGUUAACAUGGCAGAUGACAAAGAGAAGAGGUGAUCGUGAAGUCCACAAGUAAGAAUAAACAUUAACACCAAAGUUCCCUUUCAUUUGUUACUUAUUAUAGAUUAAUGGAAUGACCUUUUCUCCUUGUUUUUCCCCAAUUUUUCUACCAGAGAAACAGAGGAGAAACCGGGCUGGUGCCCUAACCCACAUUUGCCUCCCUGUGCAGCGUAUGAAAAGCUUUGAGCAGUACUAUUGUUAUUUUUUGUGUUCAUUCCCACUCCUGCAUGGUCUGACAAUGGAUUAGAAACAAAAUUAUUAGUUUUUCUUUUCCAAAUGCAGGUUUGUUGAGAUCAUGGCUCCUGUAUUUUCUAGAGAUGCAUGGCGGUGUGUGUGGCAUAUGCUUCAGGUAUAUAUAUCCUCAAAUUUAGAAUUAGUAAGUUCUCAGUUGCUCCAGUUGACCUGUUACUAUCAAGUUUAAGUGCCUUUCUGUGGGAAUUGCAGAAUGACCUGGUACAUGGUUGGGGUCUUGACUUUGCUCUCAGAAGAUGUGUAGAGGUACUGACCUAUGUCUGCCUACUUCUAAUACUCUCAUAUUAUUUGUUUGUUAGCAUGCAUGAUCAUAUUGGAACUUCCUCGUCUUUGAAACAGCCUGCCCAUGAGAAAAUUGGAGUCGUAGAUUCUCAAUGGAUCGUUCAUCAAACUGUUCCCUCGCUUGGGAACCAGGUAAAUCAUCUUCAGAAAACUUUUCUACUACAUUUUUAUUUAUAUAAAUGUUUUGUAAUGAAAAGAUCUAUGAAAUAGAAUACUGGAUUAACCGCUAUGUUUUUAUAGGGGCAAGCGGAGAAUGGGAAGGCACCAUGGCAAGGGGUUAGUUACACCUUUUUCUUCACAACAUACUCGGUUUCCAUUUUAUAGCAGAGCUAACAUUAUGCAUACAGACUCUUGUCUCCUGCUUUCCUUUCAUGUGCUCAUGUAUCUUCAAUUUUCUUUAGUGCCAUCAAAUUUUCAAAUGCAAGAACCUUAUACUGCAUCUUACAAAAAUGCUGGACAUGAUUUCUUUAUUAUUAUUUUUUUUUAAAUUUAUUUUUUAUUGGGUUUAUAGUUGUUAUUGUAUUGCAUUAAUUGGUGAUUCCAAUAAUUGUUUACGGGAUAUUUCUGUCUUUAUUGGUUCCAGGUGAGGGAGAGGUGUAAAAAAGAGUGGACCAUGUUUCGAGUUCGCAUGACCAAUGCCGAAAAAGCAUAUUACAAGGAGAUGGGAAUUAAUCCUACCAAUUCCACAGCUGACUAGGGGAUGACCCUCACAGAAGCUGACCUGUAUACAAUCAUAAUUACCACUGUUCUUAGGGUUUUUUAUUUUAUUUUAUUUUAUUUAAUAAUAGCAAUCAUUUUUUAGUAUCCCAGAGGUUACUGAUGAGAGUGCUUUGAUCUUCCAUGCUGCUAGAAGUGAAUGGGUACCCGGGUGGCAGGUGAAAGAGAAAAAAGGUCAAUUAUUCGUUUCUAUCAUCGUCUAUUCAUUUUUGUUCUCUCUUUCACACAUUGAUAUGUAGACAUUAAAUGGGCAAGAAAGUUCCUCCUUCAUGGGCCAUUAUAGAUGAAAUAUGAAUCAAAGUUAAUGCUAGCAAUCCUGGGAAUAUGCAAAUUCAUCUCCUAUGGACGUAUAUCUUGAAAUCAACAAAACAUGAAAACUCAAAUUAAGAUAUUUAAUGUUGUAAGGUCAUGUCUGAGUUAAAUACAUUUGCGUGUCAUUAAUUUGAAUACUCAAAUUUCAAGGGAUGUGAGAGGUGAGUGAAUUUUAUCCUCUUUAUAAAACAAUUGAUUUCGGAGAAGAAUUUUUUGAUUCUUCAACUACAAUGGAAAGCAAUCUAACAAUUCCAAACAACCGAAGACCAUGCGCUUCAAAAGUCUGCUCUAAAUCCCAUUGACUGAUAAAUGGUAUAGGUGGCUCAUCAGGUAGCCUACGUGUGCCGUUUUCUGCCCUAAAAAACACUCUGCGGCCAUCAAUUAUUCACGUUGUCUUCUGUGCAGUAGAUUACUUUAGCUUCCCAAUGUGUUUCACAUUCCUGGUUACUGUUGGUACGUGUGAUCGGCGGUUCCGUUCCAUGUGUGUGUACUAGACAGUCAACGUUUGAGGGCGAAUGCUUCAAAGCUGAGAUUCCAUCCAAAUUACCCAUUCUUAUUCUCAAAUCUUGAGCCCACCUUGACGCUUUCUCAUCAUGGGUACGAGUUUUAAAAGCUAUAACAUCAAUCAUCAAUGUGCGCCCUUCCUCAAAAUUUGACUUCCCUGAUUUUUCUAUUUGGCUCAAAGUUACAUAUGUUUUUUUUUUUUCGAAAAAAAAUAUAAAGCCAAUUAGCAACCGAUGAAAGAAGAUGGGAUUAUAAAAGAAUGGACAAGGAAAGUGGAAGGAAACCUAGUACUCAACAGGCGUCAUGUGGUAGGCGAAAAAGAGGGAGAGUGAUGAUAAUGGUAUUGAUGGGAGAGUGACGCCAAAAGCAAACGCGGGAAUUUAGUGUAAAUGAUAAGUAAGCUCCACAAAUCAUGACGUUACGCGUUCCCGGGAAUCAAGAAACUUCCACCCAACUGAAAUCCCCACCAGGCGCCUCCCAAUUGGUAGUCCCAAAGUUCCUUGGACACGUGCCUUCCUCAAAAUUACCCCCCUUUCUUUCUGUGAAAAGCCCACCACAAUCAGUUACUCUUAUUUAUCGAUAUGUCUUCCAGAUACCUUACACGUGUCGCCACGUAUCUUCUCCGUCCACACCCCUGGUUACCUCUUCCUCAACCAUGGUUAACUCCCAUUUGGGUUGGCUUCAGCCACCCAUAUUUAUCAGCUGCCCCCCAAGUUGGUGAAGUCUAAAGCUGUGUUGGGAAAACUGAAUUUGCUUCUUAUAGCUCUACCUUCUCUCAUACUCUUUUUCUCUCACUAUUCUCAAUUCACUGUUUCUUUUGGAAAUUGGGCAGAAGAAUUAGAGCGAGAGGUUUUCCUGAAGAUGGGGCUCUCCAAUUUCCACAGCCCAGCUGAAGGUGUGCUUCCUGUGCUAGUAAUGAACACGGUUAUGUCAGUGGCUCUGUUGAAGAAUAUGGUGAGAUCUGUGCUUCAAGUGAUGGGUGCUAAUGGGAGCUCUCCCAAUUUAGAGGAAGACCCAUCAAAUGAAGAGUACUCACCAAUGUCAGAGAAUGCCAAGGAGAGAAGAGUAUCAGUAACCCAGUUCAAGUCUUUGAGUCACAGCAGGUCUAGUGUCGGCAGGAGUGAGAAUGCCUGCAGUGCAGGCAGGAGUGAGAAUGCCUGCAGUGCAGGCAGUAGUGGCACUGGCACUGGAUGGUGUUCUUCAAUGGAUUGUUGUGUGUGUCUGUGUAGGUUUGAAGCCGAGGAGGAGGUUAGUGAGUUGUCUUGCAAGCAUUUCUUCCACAAGGGUUGCUGGGAAAAGUGGUUUGAUAACAAGCAUAGUAGCUGCCCUCUAUGUAGGUCUAUCCUCUAAACGAUAAGGUAAGUGGGCAUGUAGGGUUUUUGGAGGAAUACUUUUGUUUUGUCUUGUACUUUUUUCCUCUUCAUGUUAGUUUUGAAAAUGCUCAGGGAAUGUAGUGCGACCGCUUAAUGUAUGUGUAUGAAAGUAUCAAAAGAUUUCAAAUAAAGAACUAAUGAGGGGUUGAAGCUAGCAUCUUAACAUCUCUUAUGUAUGGUUUCUGAUCUCUGCUUGCAAAGAAUUAUUUUUCCCAUGUUCCUUUUAGUGUGUUUUCUCAGCAAUGGAUUCGACCCCUCUUCUGGUUUGCUAGAGACCCCAUCCCAUCCCAUCCCAUCUCAUUCCUGUUGUGAUUUCCUGAUAUCAACUUUAGGGAAAGAGGGUUAUCAUUACUUACUGGAGCUGCAAAUCAUAAGUGGACAAAUCAGAUCAGGUCAUGAUAUCCCAGUAUGUGGGUCUGAUUUGGUUGGGGGCCACAUCCAAUGUUGUCCUCGAUCUCUAAUCAGUGCCAAAUCUGCCGAAACUAGGUAUAGGAGACGAGGAUGUGUGUUGGCUUGCACCAUACAUAAUUUUGCUGCUUCUACCGUGGAGGGGACUUCUUCUGACUCCCAGGCCAAUACCCGCAACUUGGCCCACGGAUGGGAGCUUCAAGAGGGCAGGAAAGGUCACUAUCAGUAAAUUAUUGUAGCUGGAAACCGUAAAAUUAAUUGCAAAGCAUUUGGUGUAGACCUCAGACUGAAUUCUAGGGCUUUGUUCUACUGGAUCAGCCUUGGCCACUUGGCUGGCCUUCUAGACCAAAAGAUCUGGAAGAUGUUGAAGUUACAUUUUACCCGAAGAACUUUGAGUUGUACAGCAUCUUCUUCUGAUAGAUUCAACUCUAAAAAUAAAACUAUACUUUGAUGGCUAUCUUAUGUUUCAUAAUUACAAGCAAUUACGAUUUUCCUAGCUGGUUUGGUCUUCCCCUAAACAUGGGCUUGUAAGCUAAGCUGUUACCCACUUCUUGGGGUGCAAGGGCACAAGUUGAAUACCCUCCAAGAAGAGGCUAUAAGAUAUCAAUUUAGCAUUGGAUUGCGCUGAAAUUAAUCUUAGGUACCAUUUUUUCCUUACCACUAAACCGAGGCUGUAUUGAAAUUAAUCUUAGCAACAGAACAGGUUGUAUUGAAGUAAAGCAUUCACUAUUAUACAACAUCUAUAACAACAAGAGCCAGUACUUGAAGACACUAUAGUACCCAUUCAUUACAUAGUUUAUUGGUGUGGGUACAGAGAAAGAAGUCAUAAUCCGUGACCUAACUUUCAAGAUAGGCACUUAGCACAGAAAUCAUCCAUGAGCUGUGCAAAUUUAUUGAUGGGAAACCCAUAUAACGACUAUAGAUGUGGUCCUGUGGACUCACUCAACUAGUUCUCCCAUAUAAACUUCGUGUGCUCUAGUUUGAUGAACUGAUUAGCCUCUGCAUCCACGUCUUCUUCAUUGGCUUUGUAAAUCCUAUUCCUACCACGUUCAGUAGCAGGCUCGAUCGCAAUCAUUUGACCCCUGGUCCAAGCCUCUGGAACUCGCUCAGAAGCGUAGUUACUUGGCUUAGUGUGCCCCGUGGUAUCGUAAACCUGUUGGUUGUCAGUUGUAUACCAACCACGCUUGUGGUUGCCAUGGUGGUUGGACAUUUCAGAGGACAUUUUCUACUAGUUGGGGGGUUUGAAAGCAGACACUCUGUUUUUCUAUAUGGAGUUGCUUACAUUUUCGACUACAUUAUAUAGGCUAUUGUUUUUAUUCCAAAUUGAUAAGUAUGAAUCCGAUGCCUUCUCCAUUUGAUAGAUAUCAGAGUUACAGGUCAAAUUUUGAGGCGGAAAGAUGGUGAUAGGGAGAAGAGAGAGGGGCGGUGGGGGGAGAAAUGCCGGGUGUAACUGGGGCCUGAUGAAUCUUUAAAGGCCUUUGAACUUUAUUCCAAAGUUGGAAUCACCGAACCUGAUGUCGGAUAUGACCCUUGCAACUCAAAGGGGAAGCAUUCUUCUCAUUAAAAUAUCUAAGAUUUCAAGUCCUGUUGUGGGUGAACAAGAACCU